CCCGUUUUUCAGUCAUUUCGUAUUAAGGUUCGGACACACGUCACACACCGAACCGCUUUCUGAAAAAAGGUAUCAAUUUCCUGUGCGUAAUACAAAUUUAGUGCGAAAUUUUUGUCUAGACUUGUCUAGAUGAAAAUUUUGUUCAUUAGGUAGUAGGUCUAUUAAAUAAAUUUAUAAAUGACAACAUAUUUUAUGAUAUUCCUAUGUGAAAAUCACAUGAUUCUCUGUGAAAAUAAUUCGAAAACUCCCUUUAAUUAAUAUGAAUAAAAUUAUUUCACUCUUAACCCCGGGGAUUUCAUGUAGAGAAUGUCAUGGUUUUUAACUGUAUGUACAUACAUAGCUAGACCACUUUCACAAUAGAGAUGCAUUUAAAUAUUCUUUUAUUAUGUGAAUAUUUUAAGCCGGUUUUCCACUAGGCGGAAUUUUGAGCGCUGAGCGGACUAGACAAAGAAAAAUUCCGCUCAGCGCUCAAAAUUCCGCCUAAAGGAAAAUCAGCUGAAAGGCUUCUUGUCUCGUUAGAGUUCUGAAAUGGAGAACAGUAAGAUUUUCAAAACAGUGAAAAGACAAUAGAACCUUUCGAUCACUGGAUCUGUUAUGCCAAGUAUACAAAAACUUGCAAAGCAAGCAAAAACCAAGCAAAAAACUUGCCCAACACCGAGAAAAUGGGUGAUCAGUGAUUAUCCUCUAUUAAAUUGUAUUACAGCAGGAAAAUGUGAAAUUUUGUAUUUAAUUACAACAAAAAUGACUUACAUUAUCAGAAAGCUUACAAAAAUCUACAUAUAAGACAUUUAAACAGGUUUUUUUUAUAUCUAAAAUUGUUUUCGAGUUAUACGCUGUCAAGAACGCGUUUUUUACCUAGUACCCAGUCCUUAUUGCGACACUUUGGUCCAAUUUUCACAUUUAAAACAACAAUAAUUCAAAGACUAUUUGAAAAAUCAAAAAACUGUUUAAAAGUCUUAUAUGCGGUUUUUUGUACGUUUUCCGAUGAUGCAAGUCAGUUUUAUUGUAAUUAUGUACAGAAUUUCCCAUUUUUUUUUGCAGUAAUACAAUUUAAUAGAGGAUGAUCAUUGAUCACCCAUUUUCUCGGAAUUGGGAAACUUUUUUGCUUGGGAACUUUUUUUAGUAGUGAUGUACCUAUAUGCCUUUCAUAUAAACCCCAAACCAAGUAUUUCCCACAUGGGUGCCACGAAGCGAAAUAAUUUUGGCCAACAGCCCACGGCCUAAU